AUGCGUGUACGCACCAUAAAUAUGGAGUCCAGUUCUGUUUGACGACCAGUGGAAACCUCUGACGUCUCCUGGUGAAUUCUGGGGAGAAAACAGGAUCCAUUUGUGAUGAGGAUGUCUAACUUCACACUGAUGAUAAAGAAAUAAAAGGCAGACACUGAGCAAUGCCUCCUGUUACUCACGGAUAGUCCAUGGACCUGCCACUCUUCAAGGAGGUGCGACUUGGUGCCGGAUGUUCUGCUCUGUUCUGCUCGGUUCUGUGAAAAUGAAGCAUUAAAAAAAUUAAUUAAA